rnacentral:tRNA from 1 species
GGCCCUUGGCAAGUGUGCAUAUUGAUUUCGGCUCAAUAAGAAUGAUAAGAUCAUAGGGGUUU